CCUGAAUCAUCGAGUGUGGGUCUUCAGGCUCCUGUACCUCCUCCCCGAUGGUAGUAACGAGAAGAGGGCAUGUCCCAGGUGGUGAGGGUCCUUAGUUGAUGGAUGCCGCCUUCUUGAGGUACCGCCUCUUGAAGAUGUCCUCAAUGGUGGGGAGGGUUGUGCCCGUGAUGGAGCUGGCUGAGUCUACAACCCUCUGCAGCCCCUUGCAAUCCUGUGCAUUGAAGGUGUCCUCUUGAAGAACUUUGAAAAUCAAAGUCCAGUCGUAGCUUCCUGGAGGCAGCUGCUCGUUGUGGGAUGUUUAGACUGAAUAGCAGGGAUGGAUUUCUUGAGGAAAUCUGCUUGAAGGACACUCCCCCUUCCCUCCCUCCCCACACAGAAUGAAGUGACACAGUGAAGGCUGAACACAGGAGGGGGAUAGGAGGAGGAGGACGUGGAGAUGGGUGGAGGUGCAGAGAGUGGGAGGAGAGUAGAGACUCUAGGAUGGAGAAGAGGCCCAAAUGGCCAACUUCUGUGCUCCAUCUGCAGACCCUCUUCAUAUUUAACAAGGAAUGUUCAUGAGUUUGGAAGUGGCAGGGAUAGUCAAAGAAAUCUGGAACAAUCUCCCCUAAAACACUGUAGUGGCUGGGGUGGGUGGUCAGCUGAAGCAGUGAAUCAACAAUCAGUCUGCUGGAGGAUUCAGCGGGUCCGAGCAGCAUCUGUGGGGGAAAGGAACUGUCGAUGUUUCGGGUCGAAACCCUGUACCAGGACUCAAAACUCACCGAGUUCCUCCAGCAGAUUGUUUGUUGCUCCAGAUUGCAGCGUCUGCGGUCUCCUGUGCCUCAACUGAAAAGUGAGAUCUGGAAAGUUUGUUAGUUGCGGGCACUGGGGUAAUGAACCGAGGGGAGUAGGGUGGGUAAUAUACGUAACAGCCACAAUCUCAGUGAUUGGCAAAGGGACCUCAUCCAGUUCCUGUGCUUCUAUAUUUGUGUACAUGUGCCAUGAGCUCGGUGGAGUCUCUCUAGUGUUAUGUCACAGUAGUUUUCUUCCAGCCAAGAGACCACGCCCUCACCUGAUUACUCUAGGAUGAGUCAUCUAGUCAUACAGCACAGAAUUAGACCCUUAGGCACACCAUAUCCAUGCUGACCACCAAAUACCCCACUAUGCUAAAACAAUUUACCAGCACUUAGCCUUCUUUGCUUUGGUGAUUCAAGCACUCGUCCAGAUACUGAACUUUUGAGAGAGUCUCUGCCUCCACCACCCCCUCAGUGUGUUCCAGAUUCCGACCACUACCUUCCCCCCCCCCCCCCCCCCCCCGGGUGAAACAAAUCCUUCCUCACACCCCCUCCAGACCUCUUCCUCUUUACCCAGGAGUUCUAUUCCAGGGUGAAAGGUCACUGUAUUUCUCCUUACUAGAACAGCUGCAUUCAUAUAGUGCCUUUAACAUAGUAAAAGGUCCCAGGAUGGGAUUAUCAGACAAAACCAAAUGGCAGAGCCCAUAAAGAGAUCUUGGAAGAGGUCAGCAAAGAUUAUUGAAAGGGGUAGGAUUUAAAGAGUGUUUAAAAAUGGAGAGAGAGUUUGGUAAGGCAGAGAGAAACUCCAAAGCUUAGCACCUGAGGAGAGCCACCAGUUGUGGAUCAGUCAUAUUUGGGAAUGACCAAGGGACUAGAACUAGAAAUAUGCACUGUAAUUUGGAACUCCAUGGUUGUCCGAAGGCCACCCUGGGUGUAUUCCUGGAGGUCUUAACACAUGACCUCCUUUUGCAAUAGCCCCAUUCCAAACGUGCCAUUGGUCAGUCCUCAGCUCCUGGUGUCUCCCUACAGCUGAUAGGAAAAGCAAUCAAAUUCUUUGUUAUCUAAUGAGAUUAAUCCUGGCAGAUUGUGAGACAGCAUCCCUUUCCCCAUCCCUUGUAUUUCUUUGGUGCUGAAGGGGGAUGAACUGAGCACAGGUCUCAGCACUGUUCCUAUAGCUUCCCUGGAGACUGCAGAUGCUGGAAUCUGAGCAAUAAACUAUCUGCCGGAAGAACUCAGCGGGUGGGCACGAGUCCUGAUGCGGGGUUUUUGACCCCAAAACGUUUCCCCCAACAGAUGCUGUGUAACCCUUUGAGCUCCUCCAGCAGAUUGUUGGUUGCUGCCUAUAAUCUGUCUCCCUGCUUGUUUGCUCUGGUGAUUAAUCUGGUGUUAAUUUCUAGAGAGUCCAGAACUGUCCUGGAAGUAACCCCUAAUGGAAAAUCCCUGUCACUGAGUGUGUAUGGGUCUGCUCUGGAGGUAUAGUAACUGCACAAUUUUAACUUUUCAUGCAAAGGAAUAAUGAACCUUAACUGGAGUACAGCCAAGGCAAAUUGUGUUAUGAUUGGCUGCAGGGAGUGGGUGCGGAACCUGUCCGACAAGGUCCAAGAGGCUUUUUGUUUUACUCUCUCUCCUCAUCUGUCUCCACCUAGCACCCAAAGCUGCUGUGUCCCAACUCCCCCCACCCUCCCUCACCUGAAACCAUCUGCCCCUCAUCCCUGGUUCCACCAGCCCCUGUCUCACCCCUCCCCCUCGCCUCCUUAUACUGGCUAUCUCCCCCCUAGGCUCUCAGUCCUGAGGCAGGGUCUCGGCCAAAACGUCGACCAUCCUUUUGCCUCCAUACAUGCUGUUUGACCUGCCAAGUUCCUCUAGCAGUUUGGUUUUUUUCUGCUCCAGAUUCCAGCCUCUGCAGUCCCUUCUGUGUCUGCCCUGCAGGUACGUUGGGUUCUAAGUCAGACCAGGCCAGCAGGUUCUGCAGGUAAGAUAAGAUAAGAUAAGAUCUUUAUUAGUCACAUGUACAUCGAAACACACAGUGAAAUGCAUCUUUUGCGUAGUGAUUUUGGGGGCAGCCCGCAAGUGUCGCCACACUUCCAGCACUGACACAGCAUGCCCACAACUUCCUAACCCGUACGCCUUUGGAAUGUGGGAGGAAACCGGAGCACCCGGAGGAAACCCACGCAGACACGGGGAGAACGUACAAACUCCUUACAGACAGCGGCGGAUUUGAACCCGGGUCGCUGGCGCUGUAGAGUGUUAUGCUAACCACUAUGCUACCGUGCCUGCCACAGUGCAGGGACAUCAUGGGAUAACUUCACCUCCCCAUCUCCUACUCACGCACACAUCCUGAUUUGGACAUGGAGUGUUGUUUGUUUAUAUUAGAACAUAAAGAAGAGAAGCAAGAGAAACAGGAUAAGGGUAAUCAGCCCCUCAAGUCUGCUCAGUAAGACCACAACUGAUGCAAUCUUGGCCUCAACCUCAAUGUUACAUCAAUCCUAAAGAAGGGUCUCGACCCAAAACGUCGACUGUCCAUUUCCCUCCACAGAUGCUGCCUGACCCGCUGAGUUCCUCCAGCAUUUUGUGUGUUGCUCCAGAUUUCCAACAUCUGCAGCCUCUUGUGUCUCCAUUUUGCUGCUCCACUGUGAAGCCUCCUCGAGGUAUGCCUACCCUGAAGAAGUUUUCCUCCUUUCUUUGACGGGAGUUCUGUGAGGCCCUCCCUCACUGCUCCCCCUCUGUGAUCUCUACUGCUCUCUGGCUCUUUGACUAUGUGGUCACCCAGACUGGCUACCACAGCUAUGUGUCCUUCCUGGGCACUUGUUUCUGCUGCCAGCUUGUGCCAAGUGGUUUACCUUAUUACUCAGACCAGUGGUAAAAAUUCUCAGUGUGACACCAUCGUAAGAAUAUCAUCACCUUAAAGACUUUGAAUGGGCAACCACUUGGUCAGACAAUAAAUACUGCUCUUGAUAUCAACGUCCAUUUAUGAACAUUUAGGAAUUUAUCAGAGCCAUUUCUUUUCAUCCAUGUAAGAUUAUUCUUCCUAUGGAUGCCAAAUGAAUCACGUAUGGUUCAAGUUUUGGGGAUUAAUCUUGGAUAGAUGUCGUCGCUUUGAGGUGAGAGUGGGAGGAUUUGUAACUCUAAGGGUAGGACUGGGGAAGGUUUGAAAAUCUGAGAGUCCAGUCUCACGUCACUCAAACACUCCGCUAGUCGUCGCUUAGGUUGAAUUUGAUGCCUGUCUCCAGAUUGCCUGGCUGGAAUUCCAAAGCCUCCCACCUACCUUUCCCUAUCGUGACUAAAAUCAGGACCAACAUAUUGCCCAGGAUGUGUAAUUGAGUGUGAGACUCAAGCAUAAGCAUUGACUGUGAUUGGGAACCCAGAUAAAAUGACAGCAUGCAAUAUGGGCCAAGAGUUACAGCUGAUUUUGCUAUGGCUGUCACGAUGGUCAUUAAAAAUACAUCAGUCCUGAUGAAGGGUCUCAACCCCAAACGUCGACUGUCCAUUUCCCUCCACAGAUGCUGCCCGACCCGCUGAGUUCCUCCAGCAUCUUGUGUGUGUUUUCCCACCCUUUCAAGGCUGACCCAUUCGGCCCUUAACUACGACACCACAUUAUGAAGUUGCUUUGCGUUUGAAUUCUCUCUGAAUGGGUUAAGUGACAGUGUACGAAUGAGAAGGUUUGCAAGGAUUUUUAGUUAGUUUUACACAGAUAUUUUAUCUCAAUACUGGUACGACCAAUAUUUUCAAAUCAGUUGUAACAGUGUUAAUUUAGAAUGUGUCUGUAUACAUUGUGUUAAGCGUGAGAAGUCUUUUGAUAUUUGCCCUGUUGGUCAGUAAUGUACUGUUCAUUUAUCUCGUUAACAAAAUAAACACAUUAUUUUCUAGCAA